rnacentral:rRNA from 1 species
UGAGGAAUAUUGGUCAAUGGUCGCAAGACUGAACCAGCCAUGCCGCGUGCAGGAAGACGGUCCUAUGGAUUGUAAACUGCUUUUAUACAGGAAGAAACCCUCCCACGUGUGGGAGCUUGACGGUACUGUAGGAAUAAGGAUCGGCUAACUCCGUGCCAGCAGCCGCGGUAAUACGGAGGAUCCAAGCGUUAUCCGGAAUCAUUGGGUUUAAAGGGUCCGUAGGCGGUCUUAUAAGUCAGUGGUGAAAGCCCAUUCGCUCAACGAUGGAACUGCCAUUGAUACUGUAAGACUUGAAUGCUUAGGAAGUAACUAGAAUAUGUAGUGUAGCGGUGAAAUGCUUAGAUAUUACAUGGAAUACCAAUUGCGAAGGCAGGUUACUACUAAGUGAUUGACGCUGAUGGACGAAAAGCGUAGGGAGCGAACAGGAUUAGAUACCCUGGAUAGUCCACGCCGUAAACGAUGGAUACUAGCUGUUCGGCGCAAGUUGAGUGGCUAAGCGAAAGUGAUAAGUAUCCCACCUGGGGAGUACGCACGCAAGUGUGAAACUCAAAUGAAUUGACGGGGUCAUAGCUGUUUCCUG